rnacentral:rRNA from 1 species
GACAGAGGGUGCAAACGUUCGCUCGGAAUCACUGGGCGUAAAGGGCGUGUAGGCGGGAAUGUAAGUCGGGGCGUGAAAGCCCCCAGGCUCAACCUGGAAACUGCACUCGAACUGCGUUUCUUGAGUAUCGGAGAGGAAAGCGGAAUACCUGGUGUAGAGGUGAAAUUCGUAGAUAUCAGGUGGAACACCAGUGGCGAAGGCGGCUUCUGGACGAUUACUGACGCUGAGG